UGCCAGCCGCCGCGGUAACACGGGGGGCGCAAGCGUUAUUCGGAAUUAUUGGGCGUAAAGGGCGCGCAGGCGGUUCGUUAAGUCAAAUCUGAAAGCCCACAGCUUAACUGUGGAGGGUGAUUUGAAACUGGCGAGCUUGAGUACGGCAGAGGUUAGUGGAAUUCAAUGUGUAGCGGUGGAAUGCGUAGAUAUAUUGAGGAACACCAGUGGCGAAGGCGGCUAACUGGACCGGAACUGACGCUGAUGCACGAAAGCGUGGGUAGCAAACAGGAUUAGAUA
rnacentral:rRNA from 1 species